UUUAACUCUUGGAACUUGCAGGCAAUGUGAGCAGUGUGGCAGUCAAUCACGGGUGAGUAACCAGCGUGGAUCUCACCGGGGUGGUUCAGGAUGAUGACCUGGAAAGGACAUCACAUGAAUCUCCAAGCCGUCUGUGCAGUCAGGCGGUUCAACAGUCAGUCACAUGGAUCUUCUGGAUCUUCAGGUCUAACUGCUCCGUGCUGAUGCUGACCGAGGGGGCUCAACCCGACCAAGAGGAACUGGCCCCAGAGUACGAGGAAUGCCUGAAGUUCAAUGACUGCCGUAGCCUGCAGGGGUUUUAGGGUGGAGUAUCUGUGCUCAGGGAAGAACAUUCUAGAGAAAGAAGGAACGACCAGAAUCCUCAGAAACGUCUUUAGAAUUCUGCCUUUAUUCACGAUGUGAUAUUGAAACAAUAAUAUUCCGAUUAUUUCGGUUAUUCUCAGAUAAAUGAAGAGGUUUUUCUGGAUGACGAGUAAGAGCGUGAAAGGCAGAACAAUUAAAUCCUCUUCUGCUAGGUGGCAGCAAGUGGCUAUUAAAAUAAAAUAAAAAACAAUCAGAGCUGUUGAAAGAAGAUUUUUGUGCGAGUCUUUCUUCAAUUCCUGCCAGUAUAUCAGCGUUGUCUUCAACUAAACAGGCCGAGAUUUUAGUCAAUUAUGAGGUCAUUUAAUUAAUGAAUAAGAAGAUUAUUAUAGUUCAUUACGUAGACUUUUUGUGAGAUUUUUGUUUGGUGGUGUGCCGUGGCUCAAAAAAGGUUAGGGAACAUCACAGCUCUGUGGUCGGAUGGGUCGUCUCCAUGUUGGACCCUCCAUGUUGGGGGGGGGGAUCGAUUGAGCAAAAACAAUUCCAGGAGUCUGUGAACCAGGUCUGGACAUGUUGGGACAGUAAACAGUCAAAAAGGCAGGUGGUAAUUUGUGCUCCGGGGUCCUCAUCUUGACUUGACCAAAACAGAGGCCGUUAAAUAUUUUGCCUUUUUGUGUUUUGUGUAUGUUUUGUCUCAUAAAAUAAAACUGUCAAUUUGUGAGACUCAAAGACUUUAG